UGACGAGAACUACUCACAAAGGGAAGAAGUUAUACGAUCAGCUUUCAGAACGUUUGAUAAAGACGGAAAUUGGUUACAUAGAUGCCAAAGAAUUGAGAGUGGCCAUGAAGAAAUUAGGAGAAUGUUUGACUGACAAGGAACUGGAAGAUAUGAUGAAGCAAGCAGAUGUUGAUGGGGACGGAAAGAUAAAUUAUGAAGAGUUUGUCAAGAUAUGGUGUGAAGCGACCUAGUGUAUCAAAGAUCUCACAUAGAUGUUGAUUUAUUUUUGUUUAUAUUGAUUAUAUAUCUCAACAAGAAUUAUGGCGUUUAAAUUAUAAUCGGAGGCAUUGUGUUGGUUCUAGUUUAUUUUGUUAUGCAUGGACACUGAACAUUCAUUUAUUGAUCUUUCAACUCGGAGCACAUUUCAUUCAAAGUGUAUGAUAUAUAUUAUGUAUAUGAAAUAUCUGAAAUUGCUCAAGAUGUGAAUAUGUUAAUGAAACUGUAAUCGUUUUUAAUGAAUGAAAACACAAUAACAUAUAAGUAUAUACAUUUAUAUAAUAUAAUACAAGAACAAUCAAAUCAUAUAAUAUAUGUAC